CAUGACUUUGGUCUCCGUCCUCAUCUGGACUCUCCUCUGCUGCUGCUUGACAGAGUCCAGAGGCCAGAUCACAGUGACUCAGCCUGGAGCAGUGAGCUCUGCUCUGGGAGCCUCCGUCUCCAUCAGCUGCAAACACAGUCAGAGGGUAACUGUCGCAAGAAACAAAACUAAAGAUGUUCUCUCCUGGUACCAACAAAGAAAUGGAGAAACACCCAAACUUUUGAUUUACUUGGCUGAUCUGCGAGAAUCAGGGAUUCCAGAUCGUUUUACAGGCAGUGGAUCAAAGACUGACUUCACUCUGACCAUCAGUGGAGUUCAGGCUGAAGAUGCAGCAGUUUACUACUGUUUUGGAGAACACUUAAUCAACAGUCAGUAUGUGUUCACACAGUGAUACAACGUCGUACAAAAACCUCCCUCAGUUGGAGAGGAAAUGAUCUGACUCAACAGCUGCACUGAAACUAAAACAACAGAGGUUUAUAAAAAACAUUUAAACAAUAAUAAUAACACUUUAAACAUUUCAACACUAAAUAUAGUGUAUUUACUUUAACUUAAUAAUGUUUUAAUUAAAACAGGAUUUGAACCAUACUUCUGAACAUCGAGCUAACCUCUGUUGAAUUAUGAUUUAAUUUCUUUGAUAAGUAAAAUUCAUGCAGAGUGAUAACACAAGGACAGACAAAUUGUAAAUAUUACUUAUUAAUUUAUAUCGUACAUGUUUCAUAGAAACUCAAACUACCUUAAAAAUAUUAUCCCAAAUCUAAUUUUGUUCAUGUGAUAAAAUUACUAAUCAUGUCUAUAACAGCAUAUAUUUAUAACUAAAUCUGUGAUUUAUAUUCUAGCUAUCUUAUUAUUCUAUUUUUUUAUUUUAAUUUGUCUUUCUGUUUCUUCAGCAGUAGCAGUAUGUUAAUAGUUCCUGGUUGAAAUAACAGAUAACACUCGUUUUAUUUCUCUAUUCUUUUGAAAUAAUAAUUAAUGUAAUGCAAUUAAAAUAAUAAAGUGAUUACCAUUAAGACAGUUUCAAGUCUUCCUGCCAUGGGUUUUGUUCAUUUGUGCCGUCAGCCAUUACGCUCCACACACCCACAGCACCAAACUGACAGACUUUUUCCUGAUUAAAUCUGAGACGUUUAUCUGGUUGUAAAUGGUUGUAAAUAAUUAUUAUUGAUUGUAUAGUGUAAAUAGUAUGUUAAUACUUCUACAAUACUGCAUCUGUUUUUUUAUAUUCCUUUGUGCUGCUAUAUUGAACGAAAUUUCCCCUAAAGCAGAUUAAUAAAGUUAUAUCUUAUCUCACU